AACGAACGCUGGCGGCAUGCCUAACACAUGCGAGUCGAACGAGACCUUCGGGUCUAGUGGCGCACGGGUGCGUAACGCGUGGGAACCUGCCCUUAGGUUCGGAAUAACUCCCCGAAAGGGGUGCUAAUACCGGAUAAUGUCUUCGGACCAAAGAUUUAUCGCCUUUGGAUGGGCCCGCGUUGGAUUAGCUAGUUGGUAGGGUAAAAGCCUACCAAGGCGACGAUCCAUAGCUGGUCUGAGAGGAUGAUCAGCCACACUGGGACUGAGACACGGCCCAGACUCCUACGGGAGGCAGCAGUGGGGAAUAUUGGACAAUGGGCGAAAGCCUGAUCCAGCAAUGCCGCGUGAGUGAUGAAGGCCUUAGGGUUGUAAGGCUCUUUUACCCGGGAUGAUAAUGACAGUACCGGGAGAAUAAGCUCCGGCUAACUCCGUG
rnacentral:rRNA from 1 species